CGCUCGGACAGGAUGUAGGAAGCGCAGUGGGAACAGAGCUGUCCCGUCUGUACCGGGGAUCAAACUCGGAUCCUUGCGCUUGCGCAGCAGGUGGUGAAACCACUGAGCUAAAUUCCCGGCGCCAUACUUCCUUUCUUUGGGAUAGGACUGCCCUUCCUCUGUGGCUUCUGCUUCUGCCUCUACUUCUCUGGAGGUGUAGUUAGAAAGGGAAGUGUCAUUUGUCUGGUCUUUCCUAUUCAGCCCCGUGGUUGCUCAAGAGGCACAGACCUAGCUCAAAGUGAGCCAAUUACAG
rnacentral:lncRNA from 1 species